rnacentral:snRNA from 1 species
AUGCCUUAAACUUAUGAGUAAGGAAAAUAACCAUUCAGGGUGAUGCCCAAAUCCUCACUGCUAAUGUGAGAAGAAUUUUUGAGCAGGUGAAAGUUGCCUCUAAGGUGACCCACCGACUUUGUAGGAUGCCUGUGAGUCAUGAUCUUCCCA